UUUUUUAUUGAUAUAUCUUUUUAUCAAGACUGUUCUAUUUUGUUAAAAGUACUCAUGUAUAAAUUUUCUGACAUCAGAAAAUUUAUUGUCGAUACUUGUCGAUACAUGUAUCGAAAUACGUGACAAAACGUCUUGGUGAUAAUUAAUAGUAACAGUAGUGAUACAUAUCUAUAUUCAGGUAAUAAAGUAUAUUUGUUGACUGGUUUCAUCAUGGAACAGGAUUGACGAUGGGGGAAUGUGACAAAUAUAGGGGAUGUGAUAAUUAAUAUAAGACUUUCGAGGCAAAGGUGCUGUAAUGCGGGUGAUCGUUUCAUCGUCAUCCGUCAUAUUGUUCCUCUCGAUGCGAAAUAAUGGAGCGCAGUAACAGUCAUUUAUUAUUUAAUUGAAGCACCAGAGCAGCUUUAAAUUCGAUGAUUUAGCACUCUUUUUGUUCUUGCAAUUUUCUAUGCGUUACUAGGCUCUUUAAGAUUUUAGUUCUUCUAUAAAUUCUUUACAGAGAUAUCAUUAUUCCUUGUUGAAAAUUUUCAUGGAAAUUUCUCAUAAAUGUUUUUAGAGAUUACAACUGAUGAACAGCAAAUGCUUCUUCUAAGUUACACCUCUAGGUGGAUAUUUUGGGCAUCUUCGGGCGAAGUCAUUUGGAGACCCUCGUUCAUGGAUGAGAUGUAAUGGACGAGAUAAGAUCUAUGGCAAUUUAAUUUCCAGUUUCACGGCAGCGGGGCAGGAUCUCAUGCGGGCCCGUAUCCACGAUCGGCGGUAUAUUUUUGUUCGCCGAGGAGUAUUGACAGGCCCCAGGAGGCCAAUGGCGGCGGCGGCUGUGGCAGCGAUAGAGGCCGCAAGAGAACGAGGAGAAGUCGGUAACUUAACUGGCCUAAAUGGGUUUAACUCGAUGUGAUUUUGCUGGCGAACCACUAAAUUGAACGAAUACGAACUAAACUGAACUCAACUAAGCUAAUCAUAUCACAUUACUAGCGUUAUUAGCUGAGCGACGAUAUAAGUGAAGGUCCGGUGAGCAACGGGCUGCAGUGUAACGCAGUCUCCUGCACUGACCCUCCGCAUCCGCGACUUUCUCUUGCAUUCAUCUGUCGCGUAUCCUCCAUCUUGUUCUUCAUCGGCGUAGUGUGAACAUGACCUACUACAAUUGUGCCACCGUCGCCACCGACUGUCCGUCACCGUCGCGUCAGGUGUUUGAGUUUCACGAUGUCGUUGGAAGAAUAGUCAAGACAAAAUUAAAGCGAGUGACCUAAAAGCGGAAGUGAUCCUUUUUUAUUGAAGGGUGAGAAAAGGGUGAUCAACGGAGAUAAAUGAGGAAGGAGAAAUUCGAGUACUCCCUACCUCACAGCGACUGGAUUGGACGAAACCUGAAAAGAGAUAAGAGAUGAAGACGAAUGCGAUACGUCGUUGCCCCUCCAGCGCGGUUACUGAGGGGCAAAGUAGCUCGGCCCCUUUAAACUCCACCUCUCUUCGGCUACGUCUUCCACCGCUGUGACUAUCAUAGUCAAAUUAGCUUGCAGUAUUAACUUAUACUAUGCAGUAUUACUUCAUACAUACGAGUAUAUUAGUAAUCAAUUAGUAUAUUCCUUUUUUAGCUAUGUGCUACAUGUGUCGCAUUCACGAAAUAAGAUAGAUAUGUAAUGAAAUAUUGGAAGAAUAAAAUGUUAGCAGUUUCACAGAAAUACAGAGAUGUAACCAAUGAAUCAUCCAGUCUAUUUUUUAUAUUUGCGCAGUUGCUGCAAUUAUGUCGUUCCUAAUUUCUUUUAUGAAAUAAUGAUUAAUAAUUAAUUUCAUCCCAAUUAUACAUCAAUUAUAAGUAAUACAUUAUAUUAAUUAUAUUUUUUUAAUUUUUCUUGUAUCUUUCUCAUUUUUCAUUUUAUUUGAUAUUUUGUGGUAUUAAUAUAAAAGCGUCAAAAUUAUUUUUUAAUUAAUAUCAGUGAUUCGCAACGCGCAAAACAUGCAAUGUAAAAUUAGUUUGAAAUAAAUUGUUUGAUAUUUUAUAUUAGCAGUAAUAAAACCGCAAAACAUGCAAUGUACAAUUAGUUUGAAAUAAAUUGUUUGAUAUUUUAUAUUAGCAGUAAUAAAACCUUUGAUAAUAGUUUAUGAAGUAGCAAUAGAACGCUAUAUAUAGAGCUAGGGGCCAAAACAAUAUUAUUACAAAAAUAUUUUAAAUAUAAAUGUAUUUUUAUAAUAUAAUUGUAUUUAAAUUUAAAUAUAAAUGUAUUUUUAUAAUAUAAUUGCAUAUAAAGUAUCAAUCAAUUUGUUAUCUACUGAGUUCAAGUUGAUACUAUGUCAAAAGUUAAUACAUUGAUAUACUAUAUCAAUAUAUCAAAUGUAUAUAUUGUACAUUUUGUAUGUAUAUCUUUAUAUUUGCUGAACUAUAUAAGAGAUUUCAUGGAUUUCUGAAUGCGAAAUCACGAUAGCAAGCUAUGUCAGAAGCGCAUAUGCACGCGUGUGUGUGUGUGAGAGAAAGAGAGACAGAGAGAGAGAGAGAGAGAGAGAGAGAGAGAGAGAGAAAUGCGGAUGCGACCACGUCUCUUAACGUUGGACUUUUUUUCUUCACGUUAUUCGUAUUUCUUUUACGUCCUAGGUAUGUCGAGUCUUUAACAACGAACGCGCAGCGUCGGGCCCGCCAAUUGAGCCUGUUAACGCUCAAUUGGUCUAAAUUACUUCAAUUGGAUGUAAUUGCGCGAAGGCGACAGGGAACCUCCGCCACGUUUCUCUCUUUCUUUCUCUUUAUAUGCCGCUAGUAUCAUCGACAAAAUGUUACGUUUUCAGGCUUCUUCUGUUGAUUGCAGAUACAAUAUGUUUAAUUGAGUUGAGUGAUUUCUAAACAAUAACAUUUUUGCUAAUACUAAUUAACAAAAAGUUUAUUUCUUAUAGUGUUCUUUUAUAGACUUUAUUAUAUAAUUAUUGAUAUUAUACCUUCGAAAUGAAGAAAAAAA
rnacentral:lncRNA from 1 species